GGGGCUGGUCGAAAGACCCUGGUCCACCGAGCGGCGGGGGAAACCCCG
rnacentral:sRNA from 12 species